GGUUUUUAGGGUUAGGGUUUUUUCUAUUUAAGAAUUAGGGUUUUCAUUGGUUUAGGGUUUUUUGAUUUUUUUUAUUUUUGGAAUGUUUUUAUAUAUAUUUAAAGUAUUUGUUGAUGUGACGUGUAAAACAAAUAACGUCAUGUUAGCAUUAAGUAUUUUAGCCACGCCAACAUCAUUAAAAGAUUAAUAUUUUAGCCAACAUUUAUGUUAAAAAGUGGUUUGACUCGUCUUAAAAGGUUAAUG
rnacentral:lncRNA from 1 species